rnacentral:lncRNA from 1 species
AUGCUAUAACUUUAACAAUUGAAAAGAGGGAGAGAUGGCACAUCGAAACAAUAUAAACAUAACAUCCAGAACCAAAUUAGACAGAAUCUCACCAACAACCAAGAAUACCAAAUCCAGAUUGAACAAAUAGCGAUCAAAAUAUUCUCUCUCCAUCAAAACCCUCAUCCAAGAAUCAUCACAGCCUCUUUGUAUAGAACCCAAAAGCAAUGCCGCUCUCCCAGUUUGCGAAACAAAGAAGAAAAGCAAAAGAGAAGAAACAUAAACAAACAAAGAGAACAAGAUAACAAGAAGCACAACAUCACGGCCAUUAUCUAUGAUGCUAGUAGUGAUAGCAUGUUGAAAUUUAGAAUUUUUCAAAAAUAAUGGCUGUACCUGUUGGGGUUGCCUACGUACCCACUUCACAAGGGAGAUCAAGCCAUACGUAGUUCUUUUGAUUUAGAAAUUCACAGCGAAAAAAUCGAAUUAGACAUUUUAAUUCAGCAUGCAUAAGAAAUCAAAUUUCAAAGUACCACUACAAGUAUACAUGAUCAAUAUGUCGGGAUUGUUUAAACGAUUAAGCUAAAAUCAUUGCACGAUUAAUUUCAGAUCUGAAAUGAGAUUAUUAAUUAAGUUCUAAACUCAACUAAUCUAACACCCAACUAAUCUUCGAAUGCCCAUCGAAUAGGCUCGGAAGAUUACUCUGUGAAGAGCCCCAAAAGAGGUUUAACCCUCGGGGAUUGAAACCUAUAAGAUAUAUCUUUGGACCUAGAUUUAUACGGAUUAUACCUUUAUGAAAUCUGAAAGUAACGGAUCUGAUGCUCGAGCUUCGUAGCCACACACUCGUC